GACGAACGCUGGCGGCGUGCUUAACACAUGCAAGUCGAACGGAAAGGCCCUGCUUUUGUGGGGUGCUUGAGUGGCGAACGGGUGAGUAAUACGUGAGUAACCUGCCCUUGACUUUGGGAUAACUGCAGGUAACUGGAGCUAAUACCGGAUAGGAGCUCCUGCUGCAUGGUGGGGGUUGGAAAGUUCCGGCGGUUGGGGAUGGACUCGCGGCUUAUCAGCUUGUUGGUGGGGUAGUGGCUUACCAAGGCUUUGACGGGUAGCCGGCCUGAGAGGGUGACCGGCCACAUUGGGACUGAGAUACGGCCCAGACUCCUACGGGAGGCAGCAGUGGGGAAUAUUGCACAAUGGGCGAAAGCCUGAUGCAGCAACGCCGCGUGCGGGAUGACGGCCUUCGGGUUGUAAACCGCUUUCGCCUGUGACGAAGCGUGAGUGACGGUAACGGGAAAAGAAGCACCGGCUAACUACGUG
rnacentral:rRNA from 1 species